rnacentral:rRNA from 1 species
UACGGAGGGGGCUAGCGUUGUUCGGAAUUACUGGGCGUAAAGCGCACGUAGGCGGCUUUGUAAGUUAGAGGUGAAAGCCCGGGGCUCAACUCCGGAGGGUCGGUGGAUACUGCCAGUCUUGAAGGUGCUAGGGGGAGAUGGAAUACCGGUGUAGCGGUGAAAUGCGUAGAUAUCGGUAGGAACACCAGUGGCGAAGGCGGUCUCCUGGGGCAUUCUUGACGCUGAGGCGCGAAAGCUGGGGGAGCAAACGGG